rnacentral:rRNA from 1 species
AGUGAACGCUGGCGGCGUGCUUAACACAUGCAAGUCGAACGCGAAAGGGUAGCAAUACCCGAGUAGAGUGGCGAACGGGUGAGUAAUGUGUGGGUAAUUUGCCUUUUAGAGGGGGAUAACCCGGCGAAAGCUGAGCUAAUACCCCAUAACAUCACAAUGUCUUCGGACGUUAUGAUCAAAUGAUGGCCUCUAUUUAUAAGCUAUCGCUAAAAGAUGAGCCCACAUCCUAUCACGCUUGUUGGUGGGGUAAUGGCCCACCAAGGCGACGACGGGUAGCCGGCCUGAGAGGGUGUCCGGCCACACUGGAACUGAGACACGGUCCAGACUCCUACGGGAGGCAGCAGUGGGGAAUUUUUCGCAAUGGGCGAAAGCCUGACGAAGCAACGCCGCGUGGAGGAUGACGGCCCUCGUGGUCUUAAACUCCUGUCUAGCGGGACGAAAGUAUUGGAGGUGAAUAAUCUCCGAUAUUGACUGUACCGCUGGAGGAAGCUCCGGCCAACUCCGUGCCAGCCGCCGCGGUAACAC